GUGAGGAAUUUUCCGCAAUGGACGAAAGCCUGACGGAGCAAUGCCGCGUGAAGGAUGAAGGCCUAUGGGUUGUAAACUUCUUUUCUCAGAAAAGAAUUAUGACGGUAUCUGAGGAAUAAGCAUCGGCUAACUCUGUGCCAGCAGCCGCGGUAAGACAGAGGAUGCAAGCGUUAUCCGGAAUGAUUGGGCGUAAAGCGUCUGUAGGUUGUCUAAAAAGUAUUCUGUCAAAGAUUAGGGCUUAACCCUAGAUAGGCAGAAUAAACUUUUAAGCUAGAGUUUGGUAGAGGCAGAGGGAAUUCCCGGUGGAGCGGUGAAAUGCGUAGAUAUCGGGAGGAACACCAAAGGCGAAGGCACUCUGCUGGGCCAAUACUAACACUGAGAGACGAAAGCGAGGGGAGCAAAUGGGAUUAGAAACCCGAGUAGUCC
rnacentral:rRNA from 1 species